UCCCAAUCAAGCAGAUCGUUGGGGAUGUGUACCAUGAUGAACACUGCCCCAAUACUAUAUUCAUAACAAUCCUUUGUUUUAAUAGAAAACGAAAAGGUUGAGGGUUCAAGUAGUAUGAAUGCAUAUGCUCUAGCCGGAAAGAACGAUGGUUACCCACGAAACCCUGCAUCCAGAGGAAACCCAACUUUGGUAUUUUUUUCAAAAUUUAUUUUGCUUUUGUUUUUCGAAAA
rnacentral:lncRNA from 1 species